rnacentral:rRNA from 1 species
GACGAACGCUGGCGGCGUGCCUAAUACAUGCAAGUCGAGCGGACGGAUCCCUUCGGGGUGAAGUUAGCGGCGGACGGGUGAGUAACACGUAGGCAACCUGCCCUUAAGACUGGGAUAACCUCCGGAAACGGAUGCUAAUACCAGAUAAUCGGCUUCUCCUCCUGGAGAGGCCGGGAAAGACGGAGCAAUCUGUCACUUGAGGAUGGGCCUGCGGCGCAUUAGCUAGUUGGUGAGGUAACGGCUCACCAAGGCGACGAUGCGUAGCCGACCUGAGAGGGUGAUCGGCCACACUGGGACUGAGACACGGCCCAGACUCCUACGGGAGGCAGCAGUAGGGAAUCUUCCGCAAUGGACGAAAGUCUGACGGAGCAACGCCGCGUGAGUGAGGAAGGCUUUCGGGUCGUAAAGCUCUGUUGCCAGGGAAGAACGGGUAGAGGAGUAACUGCCUUUGCCAUGACGGUACCUGAGAAGAAAGCCCCGGCUAACUACGUGCCAGCCGCCGCCG